rnacentral:RNase_P_RNA from 1 species
AAACGGUGGGGUAAGAGCCCACCGCGCGACCGGCAACGGAAGCGGCACGGCAAACCCCACCGGGAGCAAGACCAAAUAGGGGCGGCACGCCGGGCAACCGGCAGCGGUGUUUCCGCGUCGCCGCCCGGGUCGGUCGCGCGAGGCGUUCGGUAACGGGCGUCCCAGAGGAAUGGCCAUCCAUCGCCUUCGGGCGAGGACAGAACCCGGCUUACAGGCCGUCUGACCCU